CGGGCAAAUGCUUACUGUAAAACCUGUAUACAGCAUGUUACUGUAGAUCUGCAAAGCAUCAUGGUCAAUUUUCAAUGGUGGGAAAUUCUACAGUAAAAAUAUUUUUUUCUGUGAAUCACAAUACAGCAAUUUCUAGAGGAUUUUUUUUUCCCCAGAAAUGGAAAGCUGAAAAGCUAGAUUCCACACUUUCAUUGGAAUUUUAACUUCAGAAAGGUAACUUUGCUGAUUUAUUUCCACAGUUUACUCUAGUCAAGUUAACUAUUUGUUCAACUAAUUUAUUAUUUAUUAUUAUUUGUUCAAGAGUGCACUGAGAGAGAGAGAGGUAAAAGAGCGGGACACUUCCUAGUAAACUCGUGUCUUGUGUGCAUUUUAUUAGCAAAAAAAAAAAAAAAAUAGUGCAUAAUUUCGAUCGAUUUUCUAAUCUGGCAACAUUCGAUAACGUCAUCAGUUUAGAGAAGGAUAGCAUUGUUGAAUAAAAAUUAAAUUGGAAUUGUGUAUGUGUCUGUUGGUGCACUAGCAGGAGUUUUCUCCAGCCAGCUAACGUCAACUGUCACCGCCGACACCGCGUGCGUGCGUGUGGAGCAGUGAAGCCAAGCCAGCCGACUCCAGAGUCCAGACUCGACAGAAAACGCAGUUAGAGGAAACUUCACCCCAAGCAGACGUUGAGGACCAGAUUUCUCUGCCAAGCACUCUAAGACUCAUCAUGCUCGGAGAGUCCAUUCUGGGGGCAAAUAGGUGGAUGCUUUCCAUCGAGGGCAGAGUUCUCCAACCAAAUCCAACUGAGUGACCGUUUCGAAUUCACUUCUGCUCUGGCUGUCCUUUUUGCAUCAUACUAUAUAUUUAACAUGGAAUAUCCUGCGGAGGCAGCCACCACAUUAGAAUGUAUCCAGAGGGUAGAAGACUCCAGCCCAGGAAAUUGUCUAAUUCAGGCCCGUUUCUGAAGAAAAAUACAGUUCUGGGAGAAAAACAACAUUCAGGGACCAAAUUCUACUGUUUGAAAUCCUGCUGUUUUUAAAUAAUUAAAUUUGCCUUUUAUACAUUCUAAUUUUAACCGAACAUAUUAAUCCAUUUGAACAGGAUUGAUUUGUAUGUUCAGAAAAGUGUUGUUGUAUACAAAACUAAAUGAAAUGUUAACAGACAAAUGUUUACCUAUUGAAGAUUUUUU